rnacentral:lncRNA from 1 species
AAGCAGGCUCCAUGCAGGGAUCCUGAUGCGGGACUUGAUCCCGGGACUCCAGGAUCAUGCUCUAAGGCUGAAGGCGACGCUAAACCACUGAGCCACCCAGGGAUCCUACACCUACACCUCUUCAACUCUUUCUCUUGCAGGCCAUUCUGACAGGAUUUCCUCCCACAUCCUUCCAUUGAAAGGACCCUCAUCAAGGUCACCAAUGGGGCUUGGUCAAAGAAAAGUGACUUCUCUGUUCUCCUUUCACUUUUUGACAGCGUUGGACCUACUUGCCCGAGCCUUCCUUCCUGGUACCUCUUCUUCGUUAGGCCUCCACGUCACAUUCCCUUGGACUUCCCCCAUCUCAUUAGCAACUCAUUGCUUUUCAUUCCUCUGCUGGUAGCUCUUCUUUUAUUAGACUCCUCUGUUCUUCCUGGCUUCUCCUCUCUGUCCUUACUCACUCAUUAAAGCGUCACACUUGGUCCUUUGACUUUUUUUUUUUAAAGAUUUUAUUUAUUUAUUCAUGAGAGAACACACACAGAGAGAGAGAGAGAGAGAGAGAGAGAGAGGCAGAGACACAGGCAGACGGAGAAGCAGGCUCCAUGCAGGGAGCCCAAUGCGGGACUCGAUCCCGGGUCUCCAGGAUCAGGCCCUGGGCUGAAGGCAGGAGCUAAAUCGCUGGGCCACCGGGGCUGCCUCCUUUGAUUUUUAAUACCAUUUCUAAACACUGAGAGCUCUCAAAUUUAUCCCUCAAAUGUACCCAUCCCUCAAUGCCAUCUCAUCUAUUCAAGUGUCUAUUUGACAUCUCUGCCUGGCUCUCACCCAGGUAUUUCAAACUUCACAGAGCGACCGCAGAACAAUGGAUUCUCUUCCUAACUGUACUCUCCAUUUUGUCUUUCCCAUCUCAGCAAAUGGCACCACCAUCCAUCCCAUUGCUUGGACAAAACAAAAAACUGAAGCCUCACCCAUGAUGCCUAUCCUUCCUCACACGGCUAAGCCAUCAGAAAGUUUCAUCAUAUACAAUUCCAUAUUUGACAAAUAUAAUUGCUCUACACCUAAUCCAAGUAUUAUCAUCUCUUCUUUGGUCUCCUAAGGCCACCUCUUCAAAAGGACUGCUCUCACUCUUGCCCUUUUUCUAGGUCACCUGCCACCCGCCAGCCAGAGGGAUGUUUCUAAUGCAGAACUUGGAUCAUGGUACUUCCUCUCUAAAACCCUCUGAUGACCUCCCACUGUGGCCAAACGCUUACCCUGACUUCCUAUGUGAUCUCACCCCAAUCUAUUUCUUGAACCUCCUCUUGUGCCCCUAUCCACAUGUUUUCUAUUCUUCCACCAUAAUGGUUUUCCUCUCAUCCCUCUCCCUUACCAAGCUUCUUCUUCACUCAAGGCCCCUGUAUUGGUCAUGUCUUUCAUUUGGAACAUCCUUCUGUUCCAAUGGAUUCUUCUUUUCAUCAUUUAAAUCCCAUUUAAAUCUCAGUGCCAAGGCUACCCUGGCUGAGACCAUCCCGGAUUACCCUGAAUCAAGCAUUUCUCUUCCCUGCGGUCACUCCAACACCCUGUAUCCUUCUCAUGGCAAAGGCCAGUAUUGAAAUGAUCUCCAUUGUGUGUUCAUUUGCAUGUUUAUUGUUUGAUUGCUGCCCUUUGCUGGUAGAGACUUUGUCUUGUUCACCGGCAUCCCUAGUACUUGAUACCAGUAGGUGGCCAGUCAACUAGUGGACUGACUUGGAAUUGUGGGGAGGAAUAGUUGAAAUCUGGACUGUCCGGGGUAAAUUCGUGUAGGAUUGCUAAAUUCUUUUUCACUUUUAAGAUUUUCUCAUUCAACUCAUUCUCAAAUUACAAACUCAAAAAAACUACCAGCCUCUUUCAAGUAGAAGCCAGAUCCUUCCCCCUACCGAAAGACAAAAAGAAAAAAAAAAGUGACUAACAACCAACACACCAGAAAUACUCCAUUUUUCCUAAGGAAAGGAUGGUGAGGACAAAAACAAAUUUUUGUUUGUAUCAUCCAAAAUUCUUCAAAGAACAAACUUCAGGUUCUUCAGUUUUUGCACUCAGUGCAAGUGGAAGUUUUAAAAGGAGGACAGAAGGAAGGCAAGCCUUUUUCCCAUUUGUGUGUGAAGUCUUCCUGCUGUACCAAAGGUCACUGAUUUUAUAUCCUGGUGUUAGAUCAGAUGCUGAGCUUAUUUCUCAAAUGGUCCUGUUUUUAUGGAUGGCGUGGUGCUGUGGAUGUAUACUGAGUGCUUACGCAAGUUCUGUAUCUAGAUUGGUAUUUAUCAUGAGUAACUACAUUAACUUAUUUUAUGGCCAGAGCUCUGAGAACCUGAAAAACUGUAUGUUCUAAUGCUACACAAGCCUGGGCAACCUACCAACCUGUGCUCCUCACAAACUCUGUGCCAGGCAUUAUUAGCAAAGGAUCUUGGAUUUUCAGGACCUCUAUUUUUCCAUCUGUAAAAAGGAGAAAAACGUAUGAAAGGCGAUGAUGCUUUUCUUCAUCGGAAUGCCUUUAAGACAUUGUUUGAGACAUUGAAGUAUUAUGGCAGGAGGUCCAAACUAGAAUGCUCAAAUUAGCACAUAUUUAUUUUACACCCAUUGUAUUCUACAGAUCCUUGAGGCAUUAAAUGCUCUGAUUUUGUAAAUUCCAGUGAUUUUAAUUAUUAUUCAGAGACAGACACGGUUAAUCCUAUGGUGUAGCACAAGAGGGCUGAAUUGGAAUAGGGGAACCCUGCCUUAGCCUUCUUUUACCUUGUGUAUAACUCUGGACAAGUCACAUCACCCUUUCUGAACUUGGUCUGGUUAGACUUUUGGGGACAGGAACGAAUUAUGAAGAUGGGGUGGGCAGGCAUUGUUAUGAGAACAAAGGAAAAGAAGAAAAAUACACCUCUGGAUGAGGAGAAACUGGAUGGUGGUUUUGAUCCCAAGGCAGCCCAGGGAGGGCCUCUGCUUCUCCCUGUCUCGAUGCCACUUGCCUAUGGCACAUCUAAUACCCAUUUAGCUGGUUCACAGAUGAUGCAGCUUCUAGAAUCUAGGGUUUAGGUAAAGUCAUGCCCUCUCAGCUACUGGUCUGGAUACUAGCUCUGUGUGUGUGUGUGUGUGUGUGUGUGUGUGUGUGCGCAUGUGCAUUCAUUUGUGCAUCUCUGUGUGUUUGCAUUCCUGAAAUGGAAUCUGAUUGGCUCAGUGUACCUUUUCUGGGCCAGAGUUUGUCACACAAGUUUGUCACAGAGUUUUGCUGCAUUCAGUUUAGGUACCUCCCUUGACCUUAAAGGGGCUGCCUAAGGCCUGCCUUUUCAGCAGGGACCUUGAUUCGGCCAACUUCCAUUCCAGAGGCUGUGGCCACAGCAAGCUGUGCGAUGUCUUCCAAAGACCUAGAAUUUACAUUUCCACAAAUGAAUUAUUCUAUUUAAAUAGAAUAAUCUGUAUUGGUUUCUCCUAGCAAGAUUCUGUUUCCUCAGAAAAGGCAAUGUUCCAUUGGUGUUUAGAUAGAAUUUUGGUUAAAAGGUGGGUGCUGACAAGUAUAAGACAUUGAUAGUAAUAGUUAUUAGACAGAAGCUCUGAUUUACACCAAAUGUUUGCCACUUCUCAUUUUAAGAAAAUUCAGGUUACACAAUUUGCAACUCUUAGGUUUAGAAGAGACUAACCUCUUUAAACCUCCCUUCUGGUCUUUGAGUACUCUUUUCUGGCUUCCCCGCCAAGCUGGCAUCACCUAUAUUGUGGGUACUUCUCGUCACUAGGGAGUACACUUCUUCCAGAGGGAGCCUCUUUCAUCCUUGGGUAAGCCUACCGAUUACUUUCUUUCUUGCUGCACAGUGUCUAACCCAUCUUUUUUGUGUGUGUGUGUGUGUGUGUGUGUGUGUGUGUGUGCGUGGUUUUUUUUGUGUUUUUUUUUUUGUCUAACCCAUCUUAUCAACACAGCAUCAAUUUGCUGAGUGAAUCCAUUCAUAUAUUUACUGGGUACACACUUCAUGCCAGGCACUGUCUUAGGAUCUUGAAUGAUACCAGUGUGCAGAACAAAUUUGUGUUCCUUUUUGUUUUUUUUAAGAUUUUAUUUAUUUAUUCAUGAGAGACACACAAAGAGAGAGAGGCAGAGACAUAGGCAGAGGGAGAAGCAGGCUCCAUGCAGCUUCUCCCGGGCUGCCCAAAGCCCGUGUUCCUAUGGAGCUGAUGUUAUGGCCUCGGAGUAAGAGGUGGUGGGAGAGAGAUACAGUUUCUUUUUUUUUUUUCUCUCUUUUUAAAAUUUUUAAAAAUUUUUUCAUUUUUUAUUGGAGUUCCAUUUGUCAACAUAGCAUAACACCCAGUGAGAUACAGUUUCUUAAAAAAUAUAAAUAAAUUCUGUAACAUGUUAUAAGGUGAUAGACACAACGAACAAAAGAAAAAGUAGAGUCCAGUGAGGGGGAUUGGGAAGGAGGAGUGAGCUAUAACAUGAAACAGAAUAAGGUAGGCCUCCCUGAACAAAGCGUUUUGAAGGAGAUGAGGGAGUUAGCGGGGCAGAAUGAGCGUGCCCAACCGACCGUCUUCCUGUGGCCCGGUAGAAAUAGCUCUCCUUGCACUUUCCUGACCUGUGAGAUAA